rnacentral:rRNA from 1 species
UACAGAGGUCUCAAGCGUUGCUCGGAAUCACUGGGCGUAAAGCGCACGUAGGCGGAUCUUUAAGUCAGGGGUGAAAUCCCAAGGCUCAACCUUGGAACUGCCUUUGAUACUGGGGAUCUCGAGUCCGGAAGAGGUUGGUGGAACUGCGAGUGUAGAGGUGAAAUUCGUAGAUAUUCGCAAGAACACCAGUGGCGAAGGCGGCCAACUGGUCCGGUACUGACGCUGAGGUGCGAAAGCGUGGGGAGCAAACAGG